GGAGGGGAAAGCUCAGUGGUACAGCACAUGCUUAGCAUGCACAAGGUCUUGGGUUCAAUCCCCAGUACCUCCA
rnacentral:tRNA from 1 species